rnacentral:rRNA from 1 species
GACGAACGUUGGCGGCGUGCUUAACACAUGCAAGUCGAACGGUGACGGAGAGCUUGCUCUCCUGAUCAGUGGCGAACGGGUGAGUAACACGUGGGCAACCUGCCCAGACUUCGGGAUAACGCUUCGAAAGAGGUGCUAAUACCGGAUACGAACUCCUUGGGCAUCCUUGGAGUUGGAAAGUUUUUCGGUCUGGGAUGGGCCCGCGGCCUAUCAGCUUGUUGGUGAGGUAACGGCUCACCAAGGCGACGACGGGUAGCCGGCCUGAGAGGGCGACCGGCCACACUGGGACUGAGACACGGCCCAGACUCCUACGGGAGGCAGCAGUGGGGAAUAUUGCGCAAUGGGCGAAAGCCUGACGCAGCAACGCCGCGUGAGGGAUGACGGCC